AACGGUCCUAAGGUAGCGAAGUACCUUGUCGGGUAAGUUCCGACGCGCACGAAUGGUGUAAUGACUGGAGAACUGUCUCGAAGACCUGCUCGGUGAAAAUACAAUACCGGUGAAGAUGCCGGUUACCUGCAGAUAGACGAAAAGACCCUAGAAGCUUUACUGCAGCUUGAUAUUGAGUAUAUUGUUUUAAUGCGUAGCAUAGAUGGGAGAGGUUUGAUGGUUAGGGUCUCGGCUCUGAUCUACUCGUCAGUGAAAUACCAUUCUUUACAAUAAUAUGCUCUAAUCUCUAAGGCAAAAACUUAGAGAGACAGUAUCUGGUGGGUAGUUUUACUGGGGCGGUAUCCUCCUAAAGAGUAACGGAGGAGUUUAUUAAGGUUAGCUAGGCGCGAAUGGAAACCGUGCCGAUAGUGUAAUGGCACAAGCUAGCUUAACUGUAAGACGUACAUGUCGAGCAGAUACGAAAGUAGAACAUAGUGAACCGACAUUUCGCAUUAGAUGCGGAUGAAGAUUAACGGAUAAAAGCUACUCUAGGGAUAACAGGCUAGUUCCGCCUAAGAGUUCAUAUCGACGGCGGAGUUCGGCACCUCGAUGUCGGCUCACCUUAUCCUGGUGGUGGAGAAGCUGCCAAGGGUUUAGCUGUUCGCUAAUUAAAAAGGUACGCGAGCUGGGUUCAAACCGUUAAGAUCAUAAACGAUUGUGAUUUUAACAGUUUGAACCGUCGAGGAAAGUAAAGAAAUCUCGUAUAUUUCUUUCAAUGUUUUAAUCUGAGAUUAAGACCGCUAUACACAGUUGUGUAUAUCACGGCGGCCCCGCCAAUAAAACGACGGGGAGAAUUUCACUUAUAUCGGUGAAGUCCUACUUUUAUAAAAGAGGAUAAUACCGAGGGAAGCGUAAGCACCCGUAGAGACUAAAUGUGAAAUAUUUUUUGAGAAAUCAAAAGAGAAAGUUAUAGUCCAAUCCCACAAGUAAUUGUGGUUCCCAUUUUUGUAUUUAAACGCGCAAAAAUGAAGAGACUAAAUCAUUUUUAGUAAAAAAUGAUCGUCCGAACUUUUGUUUACAAAAGUUUUAGGAAGUAAAAUAUAGAUGCGUGAGACAGGUUGGUCUCCUAUCUACUGCAGGCGUUGAUUCUUGAGAAGAUCUGCUCUUAGUACGAGAGGACCGGAGUGGACUGACCUCUGGUGUGUGGGCUCUACUGCCAAGUGGACUGCCCAGUAGCUAUGUCGGGAAUGGAUAAGUUCUGAAAGCAUCUAAGAACGAAGCCAACUUCAAGAUGAGGAAUCGUUUGAGAAACCUAAGAGAUGAUUAGGUUGAUAGGCACUAGGUGUACAGACAGUAAUGUCUUUAGCCGAGGUGUACUAAUCGUUCGAUU
rnacentral:rRNA from 1 species